AGGCUUAAUUUGACUCAACACGGGAAACCUCACCCGGCCCGAACACUGCAAUGACAGACAGGUUGAGAGUCCUUUCUCGAUUCAGUGGCUGGUGGUGCAUGGCCGUUCUUAGUUCGUGGAGUGAUCUGUCUGGUUAAUUCCGAUAACGAACGAGACUCACACCUGCUAAAUAGCCGGGGCCGAUGUAUUCAUUGUCGGUGCUCGCGACACUUCUUAGAGGAACAAGCGGCGUUACAGCCGCGCGAAGCAGUGUGCAAUAACAGGUCAGUGAUGCCCUUAGAUGUUCGGGGCCGCACGCGCGCGACAAUGUAUGCGGAAGCGGGUGCUUUCCCUCACCGUCAGGUGCGGGAAACCCCUCAACUGCAUACGUGAUUGGGAUCGGAGAGUGCAAUUAUCUCCGUGAACGAGGAAUCCCUUGUAGGCGCGAGUCACCAGCUCGCGCCGAAUGUGUCCCUGCCCUUUGUACACACCGCCCGUCGCUACUACCGAUUGAAUGACUUAGUGAUGGCUCAUGGACGAGGCCGGCCUCGAGCCGACUGAGGAAAGGUGAGCCG
rnacentral:rRNA from 1 species